rnacentral:ncRNA from 2 species
CCACCUGUAACAGCUACAGGUGCCCUGUGAACUUUCGGGAUCAGGGUUAAACGGGAAGCCGGUGCAUUGUUUAAACAAUAAUGCCGGCGCUGCCCCCGCAACGGUAGGCGAGUUAAUGUUCGGUUAAAUGCCACUGUGCAGUAAUUGCAUGGGAAGGUAACUGAACAGGAUAUAAAUCAUAUUAUAUCACUCGUGAGCCCGGAGACCGGCCUUUAGCCAGGACUCAUC